GCAGCAAGCAGCAGCCGUUGCUGAGACCUUAGGCGAGGCAACUGCUCUUACGCUUUUAAAGUUCCAUUUUAUGAGGCCCCACCUUUCCCUGCUGAAGUACAGAUCUUUUUUUUUCCCAUUACGGUGGGCCUUGUCUCCACUCAGUCCCUCUGGAUUCAGGCAGGUGCCCCCACUUUCAGGCUCUCCUUGCUAAGGCCAAGGCUUUACUCUUGGCUUUUAGAAGCGGAGGCCAAACGAUGGCCUGGAGGAGCUGUUAUCAACCGUCUCUCAUUAUCAGACUUCCCGGCCUGAGGAAUGUAUCUGGUUCCUGUAUUUAUGGAGUCUUAGCGACAGAUGGGGUGCAAGUGAGCGCGAGUCAUUCUGGCACCCUGAAAACAACUCGAGGUCUCCUUAAUAGGCACACCACCUAAGGUGGAGCGCCUGCUUCCCUGAGAAUGAAUGCCAGGCUUCGCACCUAGUCACCUAGUCGCAGUAACGCUGUGGACCCGAAUCGUUCCAGGACCCCGGGGACAGUACAGAGGAGCAACUCCCGGGGGGAGCUGGUGAGGAGGACUACUCCUAGCCCCGAAGGGGCUAACCAACGGCUUCCUAGUGACAAGGUGGUGGGCUAACCUUGGACCAGGAGCUAUAGUCAAGAGGAUAGCAGUAUAGGAGGGAUCUUCUGACGAUUUCAUGGACUGCUCUGCGUGAGUCUCUCAAGGACCAUCUCCAGACUGUUAUGUGAAAGAAAAAGAAACUGUUCUGUGUAAGUCUUGGCUAGUUGAGGUUUUUGUUAAUGGUAGCCAAAUCUCUAUCCCAACGAGUGAAAAACAACUUCCCUCUUGGUUUAUAAGAUCAACAAAUCAAACUUGAAGAUGGG
rnacentral:lncRNA from 1 species